UACGUAGGCAGCAAGCGUUGUCCGGAUUUAUUGGGCGUAAAGAGCUCGUAGGCGGCUUGUCGCGUCGUCCGUGAAAACCAGGGGCUCAACCCCUGGCUUGCGGUCGAUACGGGCAGGCUAGAGUUCGGUAGGGGAGACUGGAAUUCCUGGUGUAGCGGUGAAAUGCGCAGAUAUCAGGAGGAACACCGGUGGCGAAGGCGGAUCUCUGGGCCGGCAUUGACGCUGAGGAGCGAAAGCGUGGGGAGCAAACAGG
rnacentral:rRNA from 1 species